CAUGCAGGCGGUUAAACAAGUAGGAUGUGAAAUCCCCGGGCUCAACCUGGGAACUGCAUUCUAAACUGUUUAACUAGAGUAUUGCAGGGGGAGGCGGAAUUCCAGGUGUAGCGGUGGAAUGCGUAGAUAUCUGGAAGAACACCAAAGGCGAAGGCAGUCUCCUGGGCAAAUACUGACGCUCAGAUGCGAAAGCGUGGGUAGCAAACA
rnacentral:rRNA from 1 species